GAUGAACGCUAGCGGCAGGCCUAAUACAUGCCAGUCGAACGGGUGGUCGCAAGACCACUAGUGGCGCACGGGUGCGUAACGCGUAACCAACCUGCCCCGAUCUGGGGGAUAGCCCGCCGAAAGGCGGAUUAAUACCGCAUAUACCCGCAGCCUGGCAUCAGGCAACGGGGAAAGAUUUAUUGGAUCGGGAUGGGGUUGCGUGACAUUAGCUAGUUGGCGGGGUAAGGGCCCACCAAGGCGACGAUGUCUAGGGGACCUGCGAGGGUGAUCUCCCACACUGGGACUGGGUUACGAGCCAGACUCCUACGGGAGGCAGCAGUAGGGAAUAUUGGGCAAUGGGCGAGAGCCUGACCCAGCCAUGCCGCGUGCCGGAUGAAGGCCUUCUGGGUUGUAAACGGCUUUUCUCAGGGAAGAAAAAGACCUUGCGAGGUACACUGACGGUACCUGAGGAAUAAGCACCGGCUAACUCCGUG
rnacentral:rRNA from 1 species